GCGCUGGCCUGACCAGCCAAGUAGCGUGAAGGAUGACGGCUCUAUGGGUCGUAAACUUCUUUUAUAUAAGAAUAAAGUGCGGUAUGUAUACCGUUUUGUAUGUACUUUAUGAAUAAGGAUCGGCUAACUCCGUGCCAGCAGCCGCGGUAAUACGGAGGAUCCGAGCGUUAUCCGGAUUUAUUGGGUUUAAAGGGAGCGUAGAUGGACUGUUAAGUCAGUUGUGAAAGUUUGCGGCUCAACCGUAAAAUUGCAGUUGAUACUGGAUGUCUUGAGUACAGUUGAGGCGGGCGGAAUUCGUGGUGUAGCGGUGAAAUGCUUAGAUAUCACGAAGAACUCCGAUUGCGAAGGCAGCUCACUAAACUGCAACUGACAUUGAGGCUCGAAAGUGUGGGUAUCAAACAGGAUUAGAUACC
rnacentral:rRNA from 1 species